CCCGAUUGCCACGAAACCAGUGCCAUCGCGAAGCUUGAGCUGAGGAGAGUCGGGAUAUGUCCUCCGAUCGUCCAUCCUCCGCCGGAGCUCGCCGGAAAAGCUGAAAAACCUCGGCUGCCUCCAUUUUCUCUCUCCACCGGAUCUUCCGUUUCCGGCCACCACUGUCGACACCGCUGCCGCCAAAACAAAGCCAAGAGCGAGAGGAGUCGAUCGGCACC
rnacentral:lncRNA from 1 species